rnacentral:rRNA from 1 species
CCUACGGGAGGCAGCAGUGGGGAAUCUUGCGCAAUGGGCGAAAGCCUGACGCAGCAACGCCGCGUGCGGGAUGAAGGCCUUCGGGCUGUAAACCGCUUUCAGCAGGAACGAAAAUGACGGUACCUGCAGAAGAAGGAGCGGCCAACUACGUGCCAGCAGCCGCGGUGACGCGUAGGCUCCAAGCGUUGUCCGGAUUUAUUGGGCGUAAAGAGCUCGUAGGCGGUCUAAUAAGUCGGGUGUGAAAACUCUGGGGCUCAACCCCGGAGACGCCAUCCGAUACUGUUAUGACUUGAGUUCAGGAGGGGAGCGGGGAAUUCCUAGUGUAGCGGUGAAAUGCGCAGAUAUUAGGAGGAACACCGGUGGCGAAGGCGCCGCUCUGGACUGAAACUGACGCUGAGGAGCGAAAGCAUGGGUAGCAAACAGGAUUAGAUACCCUGGUAGUCCAUGCCGUAAACGGUGGGCACUAGGUGUGGGUUUCACUACGAAUCCGNGCCGUCGCUAACGCAUUAAGUGCCCCGCCUGGGGAGGUACGGUCGCAGACUAAACUACAAGAGUAGUAGACGCGAGAGACGCGACGACGACGACGACGGAGGAGG